GCCCGCUUAGCUCAGUUGGCUAGAGCACCACCUUGACAUGGUGGGGGUCACAUGUUCGAGUCAUGUAGCGGGUACCA
rnacentral:tRNA from 1 species